AGUGCUGGGCUGGAGUGUGGAGGAGCCAUCCAGAGUGAGUGCCUGGGGCAGAGUGAGAGCAGGACCAGCGGGCAGGUGGCGGAGUGGGGGUCGGUGGUGGAUGGCCCAGCCCUGGAAAGCUGAGGUGAAGGUUACGAGUCCCUGAGGAUCUGUGGGUGUGAGCCAGCCGCGUGGCCCUGGGCAACGGCGCUGCCGGACAGAAGUGGUGGUUGCUGACGCCUGGAAAUUCCCCUGAAGGUGGAGCACCACCCAACCCCCCUGGGUCCCACCCUCCCUCAAGGCCUCCUCCACCUCCACCUCCACCCCGCCUGGCCUGGCGUCCACCUCUUCGGCUCCUACCUGGGUGCGAUCGAGUUAAAUGGCUGAUAAGCAGAUCAGCCUGCCAGCCAAGCUCAUCAAUGGCGGCAUCGCCGGGCUGAUCGGGGUCACCUGCGUGUUCCCCAUCGACCUGGCCAAGACCAGGCUGCAGAACCAGCAGAACGGCCAGCGCAUGUACACGAGCAUGUCCGACUGCCUCAUCAAGACCAUCCGCUCCGAGGGCUACUUCGGCAUGUACCGGGGUGAGGAGCUGCUGUGAACUUGACCCUCGUCACCCCCGAGAAGGCCAU
rnacentral:sRNA from 1 species